UACAGAGGUCUCAAGCGUUGUUCGGAAUUACUGGGCGUAAAGGGCUCGUAGGCGGCCAACUAAGUCGGACGUGAAAUCCCUCGGCUUAACCGGAGAACUGCGUCCGAUACUGGAUGGCUUGAGUUCGGGAGAGGGAUGCGGAAUUCCAGGUGUAGCGGUGAAAUGUGUAGAUAUCUGGAGGAACACCGGUGGCGAAGGCGGCAUCCUGGACCGACACUGACGCUGAGGAGCGAAAGCCAGGGGAGCAAACGGG
rnacentral:rRNA from 1 species